AUACGGAGGGGGCGAGCGUUGUUCGGAUUUACUGGGCGUAAAGGGCGCGUAGGCGGCUGCACAUGUCAGGGGUGAAAGGCCUGGGCUCAACCUGGGAAUUGCCCUUGAAACUGUGCGGCUCGAGUCCGAGAGAGGAUGGCGGAAUUCCCAGUGUAGAGGUGAAAUUCGUAGAUAUUGGGAAGAACACCGGUGGCGAAGGCGGCCAUCUGGCUCGGCACUGACGCUGAGGCGCGAAAGCGUGGGGAGCAAACAGGAUUAGAAACCCCAGUAGUCC
rnacentral:rRNA from 1 species